rnacentral:rRNA from 1 species
GAUGAACGCUAGCGGGAGGCCUAACACAUGCAAGCCGAGCGGUAGAGAUUCUUCGGAAUCUUGAGAGCGGCGUACGGGUGCGGAACACGUGUGCAACCUGCCUUUAUCAGGGGGUUAGCCUUUCGAAAGGAAGAUUAAUACCCCAUAAUAUAUUGAUUGGCAUCAAUUAAUAUUGAAAACUCCGGUGGAUAAAGAUGGGCACGCGCAAGAUUAGAUAGUUGGUAGGGUAACGGCCUACCAAGUCAAUGAUCUUUAGGGGGCCUGAGAGGGUGAUCCCCCACACUGGUACUGGGACACGGACCAGACGCCUACGGGAGGCAGCAGUGAGGAAUAUUGGACAAUGGGUGAGAGCCUGAUCCAGCCAUCCCGCGUGAAGGACGACGGCCCUAUGGGUUGUAAACUUCUUUUGUAUAGGGAUAAACCUUUCCACGUGUGGAAAGCUGAAGGUACUAUACGAAUAAGCACCGGCUAACUCCGUGCCAGCCGCCGCCGUAAGAC